rnacentral:rRNA from 1 species
GCAUAUCAAUAAGCGGAGGAAAAGAAACCAACAGGGAUUGCCUCAGUAACGGCGAGUGAAGCGGCAACAGCUCAAAUUUGAAAUCUGGUCCCCUCUGGGGGCCCGAGUUGUAAUUUGAAGAGGAUGCUUUUGGCGAGGCGCCUUCCGAGUGCCCUGGAACGGGACGCCACAGAGGGUGAGAGCCCCGUAUGGUAGGACGCCGAGCCUCUGUAAAGCUCCUUCGACGAGUCGAGUAGUUUGGGAAUGCUGCUCAAAAUGGGAGGUAAACCCCUUCUAAAGCUAAAUAUUGGCCAGAGACCGAUAGCGCACAAGUAGAGUGAUCGAAAGAUGAAAAGCACUUUGAAAAGAGAGUUAAACAGCACGUGAAAUUGUUGAAAGGGAAGCGCUUGCGACCAGACUUGCGCCCGUCGGAUCAACCGUCCCUCGUGGGCGGCGCACUCCGGCGGGCUCAGGCCAGCAUCAGUUUUCCUGGGGGUAGAAAGGCGGUGGGAAUGUAGCUCCUCGGAGUGUUAUAGCCCGCCGCGUAAUGCCCUCGGGGGGACUGAGGACCGCGCGUAUGCAAGGAUGCUGGCGUAAUGGUCGUCAGCGACCCGUCUUGAAACACGGACCAAGGAGUCGUCCUAAUAUGCGAGUGUACGGGUGUAAAACCCCUGCGCGUAAUGAAAGUGAACGGAGGUGAGAGCUUCGGCGCAUCAUCGACCGAUCCUGAUGUUCUCGGAUGGAUUUGAGUAAGAGCAUAUUGGGCCGGACCCGAAAGAAGGUGAACUAUGCCUGUAUAGGGUGAAGCCAGAGGAAACUCUGGUGGAGGCUCGCAGCGGUUCUGACGUGCAAAUCGAUCGUCAAAUAUGGGCAUGGGGGCGAAAGACUAAUCGAACCUUCUAGUAGCUGGUUUCCGC